UUCUGGGAGGAUUGACAAAUUGAGAACUCUUUCUUGAUUCGGUGGAUGGUGGUACAUAUCCGUUCUUAGUUGGUGGAGCGAUAUGACUGGUUAAUUCCGAUAACGAAUGAUACUCUAGCCUACUAAAUAGAUGCGUGGUUCUCUGCACCUUGAACCCUUCUUAGAGGGACAAGCGGCUCCUAGCCGCAUGAAACAGAGCAAUAACAGGCCUGUGAUGCCCUUAGAU
rnacentral:rRNA from 1 species